AUGGAUGUGGAUCUUUCACCAGCGCCGAGUUCAGUAAAGAUGGGCAAUUUACCAUCAAACCAGGAGCCACUUCAGGCUGAGGCGAAGGACCAGAACGGAGGCCUGAACGGCCACGCGGUGGCCGUCACCGACGCCGGCACGGGCCCGCACGUUGAUAAGCACCUGUUACCCGACGGGUGUGUCCCGCUGAUCUCGGCACCAGAAACAAGCCCCGCCCUGCCAGGUAAGGACCCCGCCCUGGUACAGACCAACGGACACCAGUUGCCGGAGCAGCCGGAGAGCAGCGAGCCACGAGCCCCUCAAGACGCGGCAGCUGCCCCGAAACUGUUGGGAGAAGAGAAAGUCAACCUCUUCGGCAAAAUGUUCAAGAAGAAGCCUGACGCCCCGCCGGUCCCACCUGAGAAGGUGGAGGAUCUGGUGACACCGGCGGACCAGCAAACUAGCCCCAAGCGGGAGGACGCAGCUCCUGAUGUUGGUGCUGAGAAACAGCCUGAGCAACAGAUGAGUAAUGGUGCUGGUCCAGAUCCUGCAGAAGCUCCUGCAGAAGCAGCAGCGAAGCCGCCCCCCGAACAGAAAAAGCGGUUCAGCGGCCUCUUCAAGAAGAAGCCUGAGAGCCCACCUGCAGCAGAGCCUGGCGGACCACCAGGGGGGACUGAGACACCAGCUGCGGCCAAUGAGCAGCCACGUUCCAGUGAGGAGAAAUCCAAGCAUCCCAUCGCAGAUUCCAGUGGAAUGAGACCGUCAGAGAAGCAGGUAAAUGCUGCAGCUGUGGUUACCAAAGACGACCCUGGAUCAGCACCGAAAGAUGGAGAUGAAAAGCCAAAGCGCUUCGGAAAACUUUUCAUGAAGAAGAGUGGAAACACACCUGCAGUGGAGGUGGAGAUCUCGCCUGACCAGACGCCCGCUGUAGAUGUACACCUGCAGGCCAUGCCGGAGGAGACAGUUCCUGAGAAGGAGCCAGAGCUACAAGCAGUUUCUGCAUCGGAGAAGAAACCAUUCAGCAACCUGUUCAAGAAGUCUGAAAGCCCACCUGCAGAAAGCCCACCUGUCCAGACCAAGGCAGUAGUCGAGACACCCAGCCAACUGCCUAAACCAGAAGCUGAUGUUCAGCUGAAGGAUGCGACACUGACACCUGUAGAACCAGAGAAGAAAUCAACGUUUGGAUCGCUGUUCAAGAAGAAACCCAUCAGCCCCAUAGUGGUUGAGGUUGACAAUUUGCAAGUUCAGACUGAGUUGCUUGGGACAAAAGAUCAUCAACCUAGCCCCAAGCGGGAGGACGCAGCUCCUGAUGUUGGUGCUGAGAAACAGCCUGAGCAACAGAUGAGUAAUGGUGCUGGUCCAGAUCCUGCAGAAGCUCCUGCAGAAGCAGCAGCGAAGCCGCCCCCCGAACAGAAAAAGCGGUUCAGCGGCCUCUUCAAGAAGAAGCCUGAGAGCCCACCUGCAGCAGAGCCUGGCGGACCACCAGGGGGGACUGAGACACCAGCUGCGGCCAAUGAGCAGCCACGUUCCAGUGAGGAGAAGCAUCCCAUCGCAGAUUCCAGUGGAAUGAGACCGUCAGAGAAGCAGGUAAAUGCUGCAGCUGUGGUUACCAAAGACGACCCUGGAUCAGCACCGAAAGAUGGAGAUGAAAAGCCAAAGCGCUUCGGAAAACUUUUCAUGAAGAAGAGUGGAAACACACCUGCAGUGGAGGUGGAGAUCUCGCCUGACCAGACGCCCGCUGUAGAUGUACACCUGCAGGCCGAGCCUGGGGACAUAAAGGAGGGAACAGAGCCGCAGCAGGACCCAGACCGGGAGUCUCUGGACCUCGUCCCCGCCGCCGCCCAGCUCGCGCCGCAGCCACAGGAGCAUCCAGUUAUGAACUUCUUCAAAACGCUUGUGAGUCCGACCAGAACCCCUAAAGAGGCAGCAGCAGGUCCUGAUGGUUCCAGAGAGCAGCCCCAGAAGGAGCCGGCGGCAGCCGCGCAGUCGGCCGGACAGGAAGUAGACGCGGCGAAAGCGAAGGUGCCUCCUCCUCCUCCCCCAGAGCCUCCCAAGAUGGCGGAGCCGGCGGCAAGGAAGGAGGACGUGAAGGACACGCCCAAGCAGGCGGAGCCUGCUGCUAAACCCAAGGCUGCGAAAGAGAGCCCCUUCAACAAGAUAUUCCGCCCGAAGGUCGACGCGUCCAAGACGGCGACGCUGGAGGCCGCCGCCAAACCGGAGGCCCCCGCCCUCCCCGCGCCCAGAGAAGAGGAGAAGAAGUCGGAGAAACGGGCCUCGCCCUUCGCCUCCUUCUUCAAACCCAAAGUCCUGCUGGACCAGGUGGCCUCCAGGAUGCAGGCUGUGGGCAUCAGCACUCGCAUCGGCCGCCCCGCCAAGUCGUCCGCAGCGGCCCCAGAGCAGAAAAAAGACACGCCCGUCACCGCUGCUGCCCCACCCCCAGAAGCCCCCCAGGGUGCGAGGGCCAAAGAGGAUCCCAAAAGCGCGCCCCCUGCGACCCCUCCGGUCCCCGACAGCAAGCCGGCGGAGAGCGCAGAGAACGCCUCGCCCAGCACCGCCCGCAGGGAGAAGCGGAACUCCAUCCAGCUGUUCUUCAGGAACCUGGGCCAGAAGCGGCAUUCGGACGCGGGGGUGCAGACGGAAGCCCCGGCUGCGGGCUCCACGGUGGAAAGGGGCAAAUAAACCUUCAUCUGCCCCGCUUCGCCCCUUCUCCCCUUCCCGUCGGCUCCGUGUCGCGGACGUUGGCGUGUCUGAGACGCAUGCGCACACUGGCUCCUGGGCGGGGCCAGAGGCGUGACUCUAGGGGCGUGGCAGACACGAGGCACGACAUUUUUAACGUCUAUUAACGCCUUUAUUCUCACGGCAGUCGGUCCACACAGAUCCUGAAGCAUCCUCUCAACAGUCUCUGCAAUCAUCAUCAUCAUCAUUAUUAUUAUUAUUAUUACUGUUGUUGUUUUUGUCACAUUACAAACUGCUUUUCAUUUCUUUUCAGAUCACUGUGGAUGAUUUAUUUUGUGCUGCUUAAUAAACAAUUAAAUGUAUUAAUCGCUGAUCA
rnacentral:lncRNA from 1 species